UUCCGGUUGAUCCUGCCGGACCCGACUGCUAUCAGAGUGGGACUAAGCCAUGCGAGUCAACGCAGCAAUGCGUGGCAUACGGCUCAGUAACACGUAGUCAACAUGCCCAGGGGACGUGGAUAACCUCGGGAAACUGAGGAUAAACCGCGAUAGGCCACGGUUUCUGGAAUGGAUCAUGGCUGAAACCUACAUGGCCCCUGGAUUGGACUGCGGCCGAUCAGGCUGUUGGUGAGGUAAUGGCCCACCAAACCUGUAACCGGUACGGGCUCUGAGAGGAGGAGCCCGGAGAUGGGCACUGAGACAAGGGCCCAGGCCCUAUGGGGCGCAGCAGGCGCGAAACCUCUGCAAUAGGCGAAAGCUUGACAGGGUUACUCUGAGUGAUGUCCGCUAAGGGCAUCUUUAGGCACUUCUAAAAAUAGUGUAGACAUAAGGGGUGGAGCAAGUCUGGCUCUCACGCCGAACGAGAGAUAAUAACCAGACACCCCAGAGAUGG
rnacentral:rRNA from 1 species